rnacentral:rRNA from 1 species
UACGGGGGGGAGCAAGCGUUGUUCGGAUUUACUGGGCGUAAAGGGCGCGUAGGCGGCCACCGCAAGUCAGUUGUGAAAGCUCUGGGCUUAACCCAGAAAGGUCAACUGAUACUGCGGGGCUAGAGUGCAGAAGGGGCAACUGGAAUUCUCGGUGUAGCGGUGAAAUGCGCAGAGUAUCAGGAGGAACACCGGUGGCGAAGGCGGGUCUCGUGGGCCGAUACUGACGCUGAGGAGCGAAAGCGUGGGGAGCGAACAGG